rnacentral:tRNA from 1 species
GGCUCAGUUGGUAGAGUGCAUGUUUUGUAUGCAUAAGGCCCUGGGUUUGAUCCCCAG